AAGUCGUAACAAGGUUUCCGUAGGUGAACCUGCGGAAGGAUCAUUAAAAAAAUAAGGUAUUUUAUACCUCUUGCAUUUAAAACCCGACUCAAAAAUAUAAUUUUUUUUAAAAAAAAAAACUUUCAACAAUGGAUCUCUUGGCUCUC
rnacentral:misc_RNA from 1 species